rnacentral:rRNA from 1 species
AAUUUUGCGCAAUGGGCGAAAGCCUGACGCAGCAACGCCGCGUGAGGGAUGACGGCCUUCGGGUUGUAAACCUCUUUUGUCAGGGAAGAUGAUGACGGUACCUGGCGAAUAAGCCACGGCUAACUACGUGCCAGCAGCCGCGGUAAUACGUAGGUGGCGAGCGUUGUCCGGAUUUACUGGGCGUAAAGAGCGCGCAGGCGGUCGUCCAAGUCGCGUGUGAAAGCCCCCGGCUCAACUGGGGAGGGUCACGCGAUACUGAUCGACUCGAAGGCAGGAGAGGGUAGUGGAAUUCCCGGUGUAGUGGUGAAAUGCGUAGAUAUCGGGAGGAACACCAGUGGCGAAGGCGGCUUUCUGGACGAUAACUGACGCUGAGACGCGAAAGCGUGGGGAGCAAAC